GCCUGAGUGGCUUAGUCGGUUAAGCAUCCGACUUCGGCUCAGGUCAUGAUCUCGCGGUCCGUGAGUUCGAGCCCCGCGUCAGGCU
rnacentral:tRNA from 1 species